rnacentral:rRNA from 1 species
GACGAACGCUGGCGGCGUGCUUAACACAUGCAAGUCGAACGGAAAGGCCUGCUUUCCCUUGUGGAUUGCGGGUACUCGAGUGGCGAACGGGUGAGUAACACGUGAGUGAUCUGCCCCCAACUUGGGUAUAAGCCUGGGAAACUGGGUCUAAUUCCCGAUAGGACUGCAGGGUGGUGCCUGUGGUGGAAAACGAUUUUCUAGUGGUUGGGGAUGAGCUCGCGGCCUAUCAGCUUGUUGGUGGGGUAAUGGCCUACCAAGGCGGCGACGGGUAGCCGGCCUGAGAGGGUGGACGGCCACAUUGGGAAUGAGAUACGGCCCAGACUCCUACGGGAGGCAGCAGUGGGGAAUAGUGCACAAUGGGCGGAAGCCUGAUGCAGCGACGCAGCGUGGGGGAUGACGGCCUUCGGGUUGUAAACUCCUUUCGACCGCGAGGAAGCCACCUGGUUGGAAGGGUGGUGACGGUAGUGGUAGAAGAAGCACCGGCUAACUACGUG